GAGGGUGUAGCUCAGUGGUAGAGCGCCCACUUAGCAUGCACGAGGUCCUGGGUUCAAUCCCUAAUACCUCCA
rnacentral:tRNA from 1 species